GAUGAAGAACGUAGCGAAAUGCGAUAAGUAGUGUGAAUUGCAGAAUUCAGUGAAUCAUCGAAUCUUUGAACGCACAUUGCGCCCCUUGGUAUCCCGAGGGGCAUGCCUGUUCGAGCGUCAUUUCACCACUCAAGCCUGGCUUGGUGUUGGGCGACGUCCCCUUUGGGGACGCGCCUCGAAACGCUCGGCGGCGUGGCACCGGCUUUAAGCGUAGCAGAAUCUUUCGCUUUGGAAGUCGGGGCCCCGUCUGCCGGAAGACCUACUCGCAAGGUUGACCUCGGAUCAGGCAGGGAUACCCGCUGAACUUAAGCGUAUCAAUAAGCGGAGGA
rnacentral:misc_RNA from 1 species